CUUUUCUAUGGAAGCUUGCUUCCACUGAGAAGAUAGUGGCGGACGGGUGAGUAACACGUGGGUAACCUGCCCAUAAGAGGGGGAUAACAUCCGGAAACGGGUGCUAAUACCGCAUAGUUUUCUUGAUCGCAUGAUCGGGAAAGGAAAGACGGCCUUUGUGCUGUCGCUUAUGGAUGGACCCGCGGCGUAUUAGUUAGUUGGUGAGGUAACGGCUCACCAAGACGAUGAUACGUAGCCGACCUGAGAGGGUGAUCGGCCACAUUGGGACUGAGACACGGCCCAAACUCCUACGGGAGGCAGCAGUAGGGAAUCUUCCGCAAUGGACGAAAGUCUGACGGAGCAACGCCGCGUGAGUGAAGAAGGUUUUCGGAUCGUAAAACUCUGUUGUCAGAGAAGAACAAGUCGGAGAGUAACUGCUCCGGCCUUGACGGUAUCUGACCAGAAAGCCACGGCUAACUACGUGCCAGCAGCCGCGGUAAUACGUAGGUGGCAAGCGUUGUCCGGAUUUAUUGGGCGUAAAGCGAGCGCAGGCGGUUCCUUAAGUCUGAUGUGAAAGCCCACGGCUCAACCGUGGAAGGUCAUUGGAAACUGGGGAACUUGAGUGCAGAAGAGGAGAGUGGAAUUCCAUGUGUAGCGGUGAAAUGCGUAGAUAUAUG
rnacentral:rRNA from 1 species